CGGAGGAUUGGGGUUCGAUUCCGGAGAGGGUGCCUGAGAAACGGCAACCAUGACUACGGUCAGCAGCAGGUGCGCAAAUUGCCCAAUGCUAACACAUUAGCGAGGCAGCAACUAUCAAUAGCAUUCCUAAAGGCUUUGUUCUUUAGGGCUUGCAAUGGAUUGUAUCUAAUAGACACUGCUGAAAACCAUUGGAGGGCAAGUCUGGUGCCAGCAGCCGCGGUAAUUCCAGCUCCAAUAGCGUAUAUAAAUGUUGUUGCGGUUAAAAAGCCCGUAGUUGGAUUUGAGACGACUGUUUGGGCGCGUACGUAAGGGCCUUCGGCUUCGGCUGGAAGCUCGUGCUACUGCCCACAUAGGCAGUCAUCUGAGACAUGCGGGAUCGUCCACUGGUUGGGGCGUUCGUUCACUCGGACGGCCUAACACUUUCGGAGAUCUACACUCCAUAAGGUGCGCCCGCAGCUGUCACUGUGAGUAAACCAGAGUGCUCAAGGCAACCAACGUGUUUUGGUUAUGAAUGUUAAAGCAUGGAAUGACAAGGGGUCGACCUUCUUUGUGGCGUCUUUUUGUUGGUCUUAGAUGCUCGUUGUAAGGAGAAUUUCGUGGAGGCGCGCUGGUAACUUCGUAGUUUAAUACCUGCGUGGUUUUCUAGCCCCUUCACAACCCGGGAUAAAUAGGAUCACGGGGGGCCCUCGCUACUGGCGGGCUAGUGGUGAAAUACUGAGACCCCGCCAAGAGCGACAUCAGCGAAAGCAGUGGGCUAUCGUGCUUUCAUUAAUCAAGGACGAGAGACGGGGGAUCGAAGAGGAUUAGACACCCUCGUAGUCCCUUCUGUAAAUUCUGCAAGCUCGGGAUUGGUCACGGUUCUAAUUCUAUUGGCCUGAUCAGCACCUUCUACCUCUAUCGGGAAACCAAAGCUUUUGUGUUCCGGGGGGAGUACAUUCGCAAGGCUGAAACUUAAAGGAAUUGACGGAGAACCACCACCAGUUGUGGAGUGUGUGGCUUAAUUCGACCCAACACGCGAAAUCUUACCAGGCCAGGACGUGGUGAUGAUUGCCGGAUUGAUAGCUCUUGCAUGAUUCCGCGAAGGGUAGUGCAUGGCCGCUUCUGGUUGGUGAAGUGAUUUGUCUGCUUAAUUGCGUUAACGAACGAGAUCUCUGCCAAUUAUUAGAUGGUCCCUUCGUAUUUGUAGGCGUCAGGACGGGAGCGAGGGGUCACCCUUGCCUCCGGUGGUCACUCUUUGCCUACGCUGAGAAGGGGCAGAAAAUACCAAGUUACUUAUUGGGUUUACGCAACCUGC
rnacentral:rRNA from 1 species